CCUACGGGAGGCAGCAGUGGGGAAUAUUGCACAAUGGGGGAAACCCUGAUGCAGCGACGCCGCGUGAGUGAAGAAGUAUCUCGGUACGUAAAGCUCUAUCAGCAGGGAAGAAAAUGACGGUACUAGACUAAGAAGCCCCGGCUAACUACGUGCCAGCAGCCGGGGUAAUACGUAGGGGGCAAGCGUUAUCCGGAAUUACUGGGGGUAAAGGGAGUGUAGACGGCAGCACAAGUCUGGAGUGAAAUCCCGGGGCUGAACCCCGGAACUGCUUUGGAAACUGUGCGGCUUGAGUGCAGGAGAGGUGAGCGGAAUGCCUGGUGUAGCGGUGAAAUGCGUAGAUAUUAGGAGGAACACCGGUGGCGAAGGCGGCUUACUGGACUGUAACUGACGUUGAGGCUCGAAAGCGUGGGGAGCAAACAGGAUUAGAUACCCCUGUAGUC
rnacentral:rRNA from 1 species